AUUGUUCUUUUUUUAUCUGUUAUUAGUUUGGAAUUCUUUGAAUAUUGAUAUUAUCAAUUAUAUGGAUUCUAAAUGUGUUUUUAUUUGUAAAAAAUAUCACACAAAUAUAUUUUUAUGAAAGAGUUUUUAAUUUUAACAAUCAUGGUGGUUAUAACUAGUGUUAUAGCUCACACCUAUAAUCCUAGCACUUUAGAGACCUAUGUAGGAAGAUUACCCUGAGUUCAUAGCCAGUUUCAGCUACACGAUGAGUUCUAGGCCAAGCGGGCUACAGCGUGAGAUGCUCUCUCAAAAGAAAAAAAGGCAGUAGUAAUAAUAAUAAUAAUAACAAUAAAAUGGCUAAUUUUGGCAGUACAUCGAGCUCCGUAGAGACAGCGCCAGGGCAAGCAAGAGCUGAACCGGCACUGGGCGACUCUGUGCCUCGCGGACUCGCUGAGGAAAAUCCAGUAAACAUGGGCAAAGGAGAUCCUAAGAAGCCGAGAGGCAAAAUGUCCUCAUAUGCAUUCUUUGUGCAAACCUGCUGGGAGGAGCACAAGAAGAAUCACGUGGAUGCUUCUGUCAUCUUCUCAGAGUUCUCCAAGAAGUGCUCAGGGAGGUGGAAGACCAUGUCUGCUAAAAAAAAGGGGGAAAUUUGAAGAUAAGGCAAAGACUGACAAGGCUCGUUAUGAAAGAGAAAUGGAAGCCUACAUCCCUCCCAAAGGGGAGACCAAAGAGAAGUUCAAGGACCCCAAUGACCCCAAGAGGCCUCCGUCGGCCUUCUUCUUGUUCUGUUCUGAGUAGCGCCCAAAAAUCAAAGGCGAGCAUCCUGGCUUAUCCAUUGGUGAUGUUGCAAAGAAACGAGGAGAGAUGUGGAACAACGCUGCCGCGGAUGACAAGCAGCCCUAUGGGAAGAUGGCCGCCAAGCUGAAGGAGAAGUACGAGAAGGAUAUUGCUGCCUACAGAGCUAAAGGGAAACCUGAUGCACUGAGAAAGGGGGUUAUCAAGGCUGAAAAGAGCAAGUAAAAGAAGGACGAGGAAGACCGUAAGGAAAAUGAAGAGGAUGAAGAAGAGGAAGGUGAAGGUGAAAAAGAUGACUAUGAAUAAGUUGGUUCCACCGUAGUUUUUUUCUUGUCUACAAAAGCAUUUAUCGCCCCUGUACAUAACUCACUCCUUUUAAAGAAAAAAAAAAUGAAAUGUAAGGCUGUGUAAGAUUUGUUUUUAAACUGUCCUGUGCCUUUUUUGUAUAGUUAACACACUACCAAAUGUGUCUUUAGAUAGCCCUGUCCUGGUCGUGUUCUCAAUAGCCACUAACCUUGCCUGGUACAGUCUGGGGGUUGUCAAUUGGCAUGGAAAUUUAAAGCAGGUUCUUGUUGGUGCACAGCACAAAUUAUUUAUAUAUGGGGACAGUAGUUUGGUUUUUGGUUUUUGGGUUUUUUUUUUGUUUUGUUUUGUUUUGUUUUUCCUUUGGUUUUAUUUGGGUUUUUUUUUCUUUCAUCUUCAGUUGUCUCUGAUGCAGCUUAUAUGAAGAUAAUUGUUCUGUUAACUGAAUACUGCUCUGAAAUUGAAAAAGUAAUCAAGGCUGUUUUGUUGACAUUCAAUGCUUCUAAGUAAAUACAGGUUGUUUUUUUUUUAAAAUCUUGAUUGUCAGCUUGAUUGGAUUGAGACGCACCAAAGAGAGUACUGAAGCACACCUUCUCGCUGUGUCCAAGAGAGUAUCUCCAAGGGUUACUAGAUCCUGAGGGCUCUGAUCUAAGUAAUGUUUAAUCUAGUCAUAGGCUCUUCGCGGAAGCCAGAUAGCCACAGACCAAACACUCUGAAACCUGGGAACAAAAUAAGUCCUUUCUCUUUUACAUUCUUCCUGUCAGAUUUUUGUUCCAAUAAACAAAGUUUGACUAACACAAGGA